rnacentral:lncRNA from 10 species
UUUAUUCAUAUGUUUCUUCAAUAGUUGUUCAUCCUUGGUACAUGGGGGUAACCCAUUAAACAUUUCCUAGGUAACUAAACAUCUAAAUUACUUAUCAGUAUUGUGUCAGUCUGUCAUCCUUUAUAUUUAUGGUUUUCUGAGAAAACAGUCAAACUUUUAGGAAUUACAUGUGAGUUUCACUUUUUAUUUAAUUAUUUAUUUAUUUAUUGAGAUGAGUCUCGCUCUCUCGCCCAGGCUGGAGUGCAGAGGCACCAUCUCUGCUCACUGCAACCUCCACCUGCCAGGUUCAAGCGAUUCUCCUGCCUCAACCUCCUGAGCAGCUGAGAUUACAGGUGCACGCCACUACCCCCAGAACUACAUGAGGCCUGGAGAAGACAAGCACGUGAGAAGGCAGGCCCUGUCCAGGGUGCCCCACAGCGAGGCAAUGGCAAAGGAGCAUAAAGAGCCUGCAUGACAGCCUAUUGGGAUAUCUUGUUCUGUCUUUAUCAUAUUAGCUUACGGCUUUGUAAUAUCUGCAAAUUUGGGAAGCAUGUUUCUCCAACUCCAUCUAAAGUGUUGAUGAAAAUAUUGGAUGGCACAUUUGGAUCUCUCUGUGGGAAUGUACCAGGAACCACCUCUUGGCUAACAUAGAGACAUCUAUCAGUAGUUGUUUAAACAGCUGGGAAUCUAAAUAUCCACGUCUUCCCCGUACUCCAGUGAACAUGUUUCUUGAUUGCAGAGACCAGUGUUCCCCCAUGGGAUCCCCUAUGCACCAAAUAACCCAAAGGACCCUUGUUAUGAGGGGCUUCCUGGUUAAACCAAUACCAUCUAACUUUCAGCUUCAAGGCUACCUUGGAACUGUGGUUUUUGUUGAAUGCUGCUACAAACAUGCUUCCCAAAAGGUCUAAGAAACUUGCCACAUAGUGUUGUCUUGAGCACUAGGAGUCCCUCAAGAAUUGGGAAGCCAGGUGGUCACGUGGAGAUCUACCACUUUAUUCCAUGGUUGGUGGCUGCAGGUGUGGGGAGUGGAGGGGAGCUUAUAAAACAGGCAUGACCAUCCAGUGUCCAGAUCUUGGUUUCUAAUACCAUUCUCUAGUAAAGGAAUCAGUGCUCCCUAGAUAAAUAGCUGAUUCUAGGACUGGGGCAGAGAAUACAUAAGAUGAGCCUGAAAUAUUUUGCAGUGCCAGAAAGUAAGGAAUGCUUUUAAAAACUCUACAGUAUUGGCCUAUGUCAAAGGGACACAGGAGCCACUGAGAGAUCUUCUAGUGACCAAAGCUGGAACAAUUUGAACCACAAAAUAAAGUAGUGUUGGACUAUCCCCAAAAGUAUAAAUAUCCAUGAGUCCAUGCUGAUAUAAAUAAAUGGUCGAAUGAAUGAAUAAACGUAAGACAACAGACAAAUCUCCAGUGCAGAAGAAUUCCAAUGAUUUGUGGAGAUACUCUGUCCUCGAGGAGGAAGAGCAUAGCUCCCUACUCCUUAAGUAGGUUGCACAUAGUGACUUCCUUCCGUAGAGCACAGUAGAAGAAGGAGGAAAAAGAGUAACUUGAUGAUAUAACAGUCUGACAAACACUGCUUCAGCCAGGUGACCAAGACUGACAUUAACAGGGAUAAGUCGUGUUAAUAAUAUGUACCCCUGAUAGGAUGUGAUGAGAGUGGCACUUGACUUCUCUGGUGUUUUCGGAACCUAUAAACCCAGUCUAAUCAUGAGAAGAAUAUCAGAUCAAUUUGAAUUGAUGGACAUUCUACAAAAUAAGGAAGGCCUGAGAAACUGUCGCAGCCAAGAGGAGCCUCAGGAAAUAAGAUGACUAAAUAUAAUGUGUUCUGAAUGGACUCCUGGAACAGAAAAAGGACAUUAGGUAAAAAUUAAGGAAAUCUGACUAAAUUUGUUAGCAAUAAUGUAUCAAUAUUCAUGCAUAGUGACAAAUGUUAUUAAAUUAAUAUAAGGUGUUAAUAAUAGAAGAAACUGGAUAUGGGGUUUAUUUUCUCUGUUCUCUCUUUACAACUUCACAAAUAUAUUCUAAAAUAAAAAGCUUAUUUUUAAAAAGGUAUGUUGUGGGGGCUGGGCGUCGUGGCUCACACCUGUAAUCUUAGCAAUCUGAGAGGCUGAGGUGGGCGGAUCACUUGAGAUCAGGAGUUUG